rnacentral:rRNA from 1 species
GACGAACGCUGGCGGCGUGCUUAACACAUGCAAGUCAAGGGGGCCCAGCAAUGGGCAACCGGCGAACGGGUGCGUAACACGUGAGCAACCUACCGAACUGUGGGGGAUAGCCGGCCUAACGGCCGAGUAAUACCGCAUACGCUCUCAGUGAGGCAUUUCAUUGAGAGGAAACCUACGGGACAGAUCGAGGGGCUCGCGGCCUAUCAGCUAGUUGGCGAGGUAACGGCNCACCAAGGCAACGACGGGUAGCUGGUCUGAGAGGACGAUCAGCCACACUGGCACUGCGACACGGGCCAGACUCCUACGGGAGCAGCAGUAAGGAAUAUUGCGCAAUGGGCGAAAGCCUGACGCAGCGACGCCGCGGU